AAGAGAUUUACAUGCAUAACUCC
rnacentral:miRNA from 1 species